UUGCUUUUAGCAGCACAUAGACUAAAACUGGAAUGAUUCCGAGUUUAGCAUGGCCCCUGUGCAAGGAUGACACGCAAAUUCAUGAAGCGCUCCAUGAAAAA
ensembl:snRNA U6 U6 spliceosomal RNA